UACGGAGGAUCCGAGCGUUAUCCGGAUUUAUUGGGUUUAAAGGGUGCGUAGGUGGAUUGGUAAGUCAGUGGUGAAAGUUUGCAGCUUAACUGUAAAAUUGCCGUUGAAACUGCCGGUCUUGAGUGCAAAUGAGGUAGGCGGAAUGCGUCAUGUAGCGGUGAAAUGCUUAGAUAUGACGCAGAACUCCGAUUGCGAAGGCAGCUUACUGGGAUGCAACUGACGCUGAGGCACGAAAGCGUGGGUAUCAAACAGGAUUAGA
rnacentral:rRNA from 1 species